AGAGUUUGAUCCUGGCUCAGGACAAACGUUGGCGGUGCGUCUUAGACAUGCAAGUCGAGCGUGAAAGCCCGCAAGGGUGAGUAAAGCGGCGAACGGGUGAGUAAUACUUGGGUAACGUCCCUCCUAGAUUGGGAUAACGCGCCGAAAGGCGUGCUAAUACCGGAUAUGACCACGGCUUCUCUGGAAGUUGGGGUAAAAGAUGGCGCAAGCUAUCACUGGGAGAUCGGCUCAAGCACCAUUAGCUAGUUGGCGUGGUAACGGCCCACCAAGGCGACGAUGGUUAGCCGGCCUGAGAGGGUGAUCGGCCACACUGGGACUGAGAUACGGCCCAGACUCCUACGGGAGGCAGCAGUUUGGAAUAUUCCACAAUGGGCGCAAGCCUGAUGGAGCGACACCGCGUGAAGGAUGAAGGUCUUCGGAUUGUAAACUUCUUUAGACCUAGAUGAAGGCUGCAGGGUGAAUAAUCCUGCAGUUUGACAGUAUAGGUAGAAUAAGCCACGGCUAACUCUGUGCCAGCAGCCGCGGUAAUACAGAGGUGGCGAACGUUGUCCGGAUUUAUUGGGUGUAAAGGGCAUGUAGGUGGUUU
rnacentral:rRNA from 1 species